rnacentral:rRNA from 1 species
GAUGAACGCUGGCGGCGUGCUUAACACAUGCAAGUCGAACGAUGAAGCCCAGCUUGCUGGGUGGAUUAGUGGCGAACGGGUGAGUAACACGUGAGUAACCUGCCCUUAACUCUGGGAUAAGCCUGGGAAACUGGGUCUAAUACCGGAUAGGAGCGUCCACCGCAUGGUGGGUGUUGGAAAGAUUUAUCGGUUUUGGAUGGACUCGCGGCCUAUCAGCUUGUUGGUGAGGUAAUGGCUCACCAAGGCGACGACGGGUAGCCGGCCUGAGAGGGUGACCGGCCACACUGGGACUGAGACACGGCCCAGACUCCUACGGGAGGCAGCAGUGGGGAAUAUUGCACAAUGGGCGCAAGCCUGAUGCAGCGACGCCGUGUGAGGGAUGACGGCCUUCGGGUUGUAAACCUCUUUCAGUAGGGAAGAAGCGAAAGUGACGGUACCUGCAGAAGAAGCACCGGCUAACUACGUG